GACGAACGCUGGCGGCGUGCCUAAUACAUGCAAGUAGAACGCACAGUUUAUACCGUAGCUUGCUACACCAUAAACUGUGAGUUGCGAACGGGUGAGUAACGCGUAGGUAACCUGCCUGGUAGCGGGGGAUAACUAUUGGAAACGAUAGCUAAUACCGCAUAAUAUUGAUUAUUGCAUGAUAAUUGAUUGAAAGAUGCUAUUGCAUCACUACUAGAUGGACCUGCGUUGUAUUAGCUAGUAGGUGAGGUAACGGCUCACCUAGGCGACGAUACAUAGCCGACCUGAGAGGGUGAUCGGCCGCACUGGGACUGAGACACGGCCCAGACUCCUACGGGAGGCAGCAGUAGGGAAUCUUCGGCAAUGGACGAAAGUCUGACCGAGCAACGCCGCGUGAGUGAAGAAGGUUUUCGGAUCGUAAAGCUCUGUUGUAAGAGAAGAACGGGUGUGAGAGUGGAAAGUUCACACUGUGACGGUAUCUUACCAGAAAGGGACGGCUAACUACGUG
rnacentral:rRNA from 1 species